GUCUGACGGCCGGCUGCUCCCGGACGGAAGAGGGGGUGUACUCGGGGGCGCCGCACGUGGAUCCUGGCACGGGUACGAUCGCGUGCACCCCUCUUCUACGCUCAGCCAUUGCCUGCUGCCCCCUCACCACGACCGCGUGUGCGGGACCCCCGGGCUAGGGGAGCGCAGGGGGAGGAGCGGGAGGAAGUCACUUGGGCUGAGGCUCUGCCAAAGGAAUAGGAGUUUGCCAAGUAUAGGAAGAGGAAAAUGGUGCCCCAGGUGGGGGGCACUGCGUGUGCAAAAGCGCCUGAAGACGUGAAAGCGGGUGCAUUUGGGGAACAUCUGCGAAAUCAGGUUAGCCGCUAGGCCUUGCCCUACCAGACAGCUGCAAGACUGAGGAGCAGAAGGGCGCCUGCUGGCAGUGUGGACAGGCGCGGCUGCCAAUACGUGGAGUCAGGACUGAAGGCAUGGAUCCAGAUAGUGGCUCACAGGCCUGGCGGACCCGCCCUCUUCUGCAGGCAUCCUGGGAACCGGAGUUACCGAGCUACAGCCAAGAGUGCUGGGGCCCCACCCAGGAGUCUCCGCUCCAGCCCCACCCACGGCCACCCAGACUAGGGAGGGCAGAGGACAGGCAGCCUCUGGUGUCACUGGGGGCAGCCUCCACCUCCGCCUCGCCGCCCCUCCCUGGAGCCAGCUGCUGCUGCCUUGGGUGCCCAGGAUGCAGGGAAUGGGAUUUAGCCGGGGUCAGAGCCCAGACGCUACCCACAGACCUCCCAGAGAAUCGGCACAACCCAGACGCGCACACAGGGCCCUUUGCGGCCACCAGAUCCAUACCAAUCUCCUCGGCCGCCCCACACUCAAAUGCAUAGCACACAGUCCCCAGCCACCGGGUACAUGCUAGUCUCGCCUGAGUGACAGGCCCCAGCUCUGCAACGCAGGGGCCCCAGCCCGCAACAGCCCACAUCCCCCCAAGCCCGUCCCAACCCACACUUUGGUACCACAACCGCAAUCAACCGUGUGACCCUCAGAAGGAACAGUCACCCGCUCUCACCCUGGGCCAAGACCUCCCUUAGGAAAACCACAAAAUUGAAGGUUACACCAGGCAGCCAGAACUCAGACCCUCGGCGACGGGCUUGGCCGAGGCAGCAGCGGCCCCCCAGCACACAGGCGCUCCAGCUGCGGGCGCUGCCCACACACCCUCCAGCCUGUGGGCCCCCGAACAGCGCCAGACCAGGCAGGACAGGUGCUGGGGUGUGGGCACCCUCAGAAGAAGUGAGGCUUCCUGCUGCAUAAGAGAGAGUUUUCUGCGUGUCCUGAGCCCCUGAGAAAGAAGCGAAAGGCCAAGGCCCAGGAGCCCCUCUGUGCUGUGCUCUGGUCACUGGCUGCCCUCUGGUCACCCUCGCUGAACCCAGGAAGUGCUGCUGCUUGUGCACUUCUCAGAGGACACACCUGAGGCCUAGAGAGGAGCCUGGACACCCCCUACCUGCCCAGCUGGGCACCUGGGCCAUCGCUGACCCUCUGGGGAGGGAUGGUGAUUUGUGGGUACCUGUGUCUGCCUGCUUGGAUUCCAGGGGCUAGGCUGUGCCCACCUGUGAGUUGUGGGCUACUGCUGUGUGCGGUGCCCGGACCUCCCACUUCGGACAGACGUCUUUCCCUGGAGUCCCUAGCAGCUGCCCCAAGAGAGGACCCUCUCCAUGACUGCCACUCCAGUGUUGCCACAG